CUUGUGGGGAAUGUUGGCUGGCUCGAGGCAUCCACGCUUCCAGCUCCUCGCCGUCGUCGGCGGCUCAGGCAUGUGGAGGCGUCGGACCAGGCUUCAUUCCUCGCAAG
rnacentral:pre_miRNA from 1 species